rfam:Medicago truncatula strain A17 chromosome 6, whole genome shotgun sequence.
CCCAUAUGUAAUAAAAGGUCCGUUUAGGUCAUUUAAUUUUAUUUAAAGUAUCGGUUUGGUCCCUUUUGUUAAUUUAAUUAAAAAAAAAACGUUAAGUUUAGGUACCAAACUAAUACUAAUUAAAUAAGUUAAAUGACCAAACUAGUACAAUUAAAUAAGUUAAGGGACCAAAAUUUAACGUUUUUUUUAAUUAAAUUAACAAAAUGGACCAUACCAAUACUUUAAAUAAAGUUAAGGGAUCUAAACAGAUCUUUUAUUACUUAUGAGA